UGGGAGCUCUGUGCAAAGCCUCCGGGAUGCAGCAACCUGUUCUGUCUGCCUGGACUUCUUCAGGGAUCUGGUGAUGAUCGUGGGCUGUGGGCACAACUUCUGCCGAGCCUGCAUCACCCAGUGCUGGGAGGGGGCUGAGACAGAUGUCACCUGCCCCAAUGCAGACAGACCUUUCCCCAGAGGAACCUGGGUCCAAACAGGCAGAACUAGUCAAGGGCCUGAGCGAGUGGUCAGCUGUGGAAGCCAGAGGGAAGAUGGUGUGUGAGGAGCACGGGGAGGCUCUGAAACUCUUCUGUGAGACAGACCAGACACUGAUGUGCCUGAUCUGCCGAGAGUCCCAGGUGCACCAAGCUCACUCUGUGGCUCCCAUCCAGGAGGCUGCCCAGCACUGCAAGGAACAAAUUCAGACUCAGCUGCAGCUUCUAAGGGGAGAGAGGAAGAGGCUUGAAGACCUGAGAGUGAGUGAAAGUCAGAAACAGGAAUAUCAGAGAAAACCAGGAUCCCUGGCAAUGAGGAAAGCUUUGCUUGCUGAUAGUCAUGGACUUCUCCCCUCCAUAAGGUCCUAGCCCUCAGCACUGCAGAAAAAUCCUUUGCAAAAUGAACAGAGUGAAGAGAUCCCCGGCAGAGCCCACGACCUGAGCAACCCAAAACUCUGUUCCAGACGCAAAAGGCAGCAACCGAGAGACAGAAGAUUGUGGAUGAAUUUGAAGGACUGCACCAGUUUCUGGAGGAAGAAAAGCAACUCCUGCUGGCUGAAGUGGGAAAGCUGGAGAGGGGGAUUGAGAAGAGUCAGGGGGAGACUAUUACCCAACUCUCCGAGGAGAUUUCCCGUCUCAACAACCUGAUCAGGGAGUUGGAGGGGAAGUGUCAGCAGGCAGCUAGUGACCUCCUGCAGGAUAUCAGGAGCAUGCUGAGCAGGGUAGUGAUGGCUUUGGGCACUGGCAGCCUGAAGACUGUAGAGCUGUAAUCUGGGCCUUCCUCCUCUUGUCCCUGGGGAAUCAGUCUUGGCCACCAGAGCUUGAGCCAACUGCCUGUGAAGUCUCAGCUCCUUCCUGAUCCCAAGAAAUGUCCUGGGUAUUUCUGAGCCGAAGAACACUUAUCGGUCCCUGCUGGGGGAGCUGCCACUGCCUGUGCUGCCCCUGCGGCUGAGGCACAUGGACAGAGUCCGUCUCCAGGUCCCUCCAUCAACCCAAUGCUAUUACCUUGGAGCUGAAUUCCAAAAGGGAAAUCAAAUAACAUGGACUAGUUUUUCCCAGGUGCAAGAAGGAGAAGUUCCAGCUGCCAGAGGGGACUUGUCCAGAGCUGAAAAUGAGAUUUAGCUUCUUGUCUGGAAAACAUCUAGCUCUACAGGAGACUUUGAAGAAGUUUCAAGAGGCCCUGCCAUCUGAGCUGGAGAAGGGAUCAUACACAAAGGUGACGGUGACUCUGGAUCCACACACGGCUCAUUUCUGGCUUGUCCUGUCUGCAGAUCAGAAAAGUGUGAGACAUGAACAAACACGGAAGCGUCUGCCUGAGAGUCCUGAGCGAUUUGAGUCUAUGUGCUGUGUGCUGGGCUGUGAGGGAUUCACUUGAGGGAGACACUGCUGGGAGGCGGAGGCGGGGGAGGGGGUCUGGGCCGUGGGGGUCGCCAGAGAUUCAGUGGUGAGGAGGGGAUGGUACCAGGUUAGCCCAGAGGUGGGGAUCUGGGCUGUGCAGCAUGGCCAUGGUUACAUCCAGGCUCUCACUGCCCCUAAAUGUCCCAGAAACUGGUGCCCAAGAAGGUCCGGGUGUGCCUGGACUUUGCAGAGGAACAGGUGUCAUUUCUCAAUGCUGAUACUGAGGACACGAUCUACACUUUCCCGACAGCCUCGUUCACUGGGGACACAAUCCGGCCCUGGCUUCAUGUCCGUGGGCCUGGAUCUGAGCUCAGACUGUGUGAUUGAGUUCAAGGGCAAGGCGGGCGUGUAGGUCUGUCAUGGCUUUCUGCCACACCAUGCUACUGUGGAGUAGUGGGCUACCACGCCAUCAGUGUCUUGUGUAGACACGGCCACUGAGAACUAAACCCUGAGAGCCUGGUUUGUCUGAAGGCAAUGAAACUCAUGCAACUUCCAACUUGUCCUCUCUCUACUGGUUCCCGUGGCCCUAGUGCUGCCGCACCGUAGCACAACGCACGCACUGACUGACAGAGCUAGUGGGCUGGGCUGUCUUCAGUGCCUGCUGUCUUGAACAGAAGGAACAUAGGCAAACUUUCUCAUAUCACAGUCCUCCUCCUCAGGCACCUCUGGAAGCUUGCCCAUGUUGAUACCAGCCCUACAGUUGCUCCAACAAGAUAUCACCCACAAGAACCCUUGCCUCUAGUUUCCAACAGGAUUCAAUACACACCGUCUGUUCCUUGUCACCCUGCUACAAACAGCCUAGCUCAGGGGCAGGCAAAAUACGGUGCAGGGUUUUCCCCGGUGCCACGUGAGUGUGGGAACUGCAUGCACACUGCGUGGAGCCCUGUGCUAGAGGCAGCUGGUCUGCACUUCCCACCCUUGCACACAGCAUUGGCUGGAGCCACGUGCCGGGCACCAGUGCCUGCACUAGGCAUAAGGGUCCUGAAAGCUGCCUGCUGGUGCUGCCCUGUGGGGGAGUGUGAUGGGGUGUGUGGGUUGGGGGAUCCCAACACCCCCCAGCCCCCUCACACUCUACAAAUCUCCCACAACCUGCCUCCAUAGCUCCCCCACAUAUACGCCCCCCCAACUUACCUUAUGCUUCCCCACACACACAGCCACAUCCCCUCACAAACCCCCAUACACCCGCCAUACACACCCCCCACCCCCAACCACACCCCAUACACACAAUAUACAAGAAUAAGGCUUUAUUUUUGAGUUAUUAUGCAAUUGCCUUUAUAUAUAGUAGGCAAACAGAAAUAACACCAAUAUUUUUUGCAAUAAAAUCAUAAUAUGUUAUAGUAGGUGUUUAAA